rnacentral:rRNA from 1 species
UUGGAGGGCAAGUCUGGUGCCAGCAGCCGCGGUAAUUCCAGCUCCAAUAGCGUAUAUUAAAGUUGUUGCAGUUAAAAAGCUCGUAGUUGAAUUUCGGAAUCCAUCCGUCGGUCGGGCCUCACGGUCCGCACUGGUGUGAUGGAUUUCUACCUUCUGAAUAACCAGCAUGUCAUUAAUUUGGUGCGUUGGGGAAGCAGGACUGUUACCUUGAAAAAAUUAGAGUGCUUAAAGCAGGCUAGAGCCUGAAUACAUUAGCAUGGAAUAAUGAAAUAGGACGGCGUGGUUCUAUUUUGUUGGUUUCUAGGAUCACCGUAAUGAUUAAUAGGGAUAGUUGGGGGCAUUAGUAUUCAAUUGUCAGAGGUGAAAUUCUUGGAUUUAUUGAGGACUAACUUCUGCGAAAGCAUUUGCCAAGGAUGUUUUCAUUAAUCAAGAACGAAAGUUAGGGGAUCGAAGACGAUCAGAUACCGUCGUAGUCUUAACCAUAAACUAUGCCGACUAGGGAUCGGACGAUGUUAAUUUUUUAAUGACUCGUUCGGCGCCUUACGGGAAAC